GAUGAACGCUGGCGGCGUGCUUAACACAUGCAAGUCGAACGGGAAAUAUUUCAUUGAGACUUCGGUGGAUUUGAUUUAUUUCUAGUGGCGGACGGGUGAGUAACGCGUGGGUAACCCGCCUUAUACAGGGGGAUAACAGUCAGAAAUGGCUGCUAAUACCGCAUAAGCGCACAGAGCUGCAUGGCUCAGUGUGAAAAACUCCGGUGGUAUAAGAUGGACCCGCGUUGGAAUAGCUAGUUGGUGGGGUAACGGCCCACCAAGGCGACGAUCCAUAGCCGGCCUGAGAGGGUGAACGGCCACAUUGGGACUGAGACACGGCCCAGACUCCUACGGGAGGCAGCAGUGGGGAAUAUUGCACAAUGGGGGAAACCCUGAUGCAGCGACGCCGCGUGAAGGAAGAAGUAUCUCGGUAUGUAAACUUCUAUCAGCAGGGAAGAUAGUGACGGUACCUGACUAAGAAGCCCCGGCUAACUACGU
rnacentral:rRNA from 1 species